rnacentral:lncRNA from 1 species
CCUAGUGGUGCAUUGAGCUAAGGUCAGUAAUUGCCCACUGGGAACUAUAAAUUAUAGUUCUCACGCCCUCUGUUUUAUGUUUUCUUUCAGAGCCUUCCACGCCGGGAGAGGCUAGGGACCGUGGGAAGGGCGUUGCUUCGAGCUAGCUCUUCAGCGAGUGACGAGUUGAUAGGUGGUCUACCUCUCGAUGUGUGUAUUUUGGAG